CGCGUAGGCGGUCUCUAAAGUCAGAUGUGAAAGCCCGGGGCUUAACCCCGGAAGUGCAUUUGAAACUUAGGGACUUGAGUAUGGGAGAGGGAAGUGGAAUUCCUGGUGUAGCGGUGAAAUGCGUAGAUAUCAGGAGGAACACCAGUGGCGAAGGCGACUUCCUGGACCAAUACUGACGCUGAGGCGCGAAGGCGUGGGGAGCAAACAGGAUUAGAUACCCUGGUAGUCC
rnacentral:rRNA from 1 species